rnacentral:rRNA from 1 species
GGGUUGUGAGGUUAAGCGACUAAGCGUACACGGUGGAUGCCCUGGCAGUCAGAGGCGAUGAAGGACGUGCUAAUCUGCGAUAAGCGUCGGUAAGGUGAUAUGAACCGUUAUAACCGGCGAUUUCCGAAUGGGGAAACCCAGUGUGUUUCGACACACUAUCAUUAACUGAAUCCAUAGGUUAAUGAGGCGAACCGGGGGAACUGAAACAUCUAAGUACCCCGAGGAAAAGAAAUCAACCGAGAUUCCCCCAGUAGCGGCGAGCGAACGGGGAGCAGCCCAGAGCCUGAAUCAGUGUGUGUGUUAGUGGAAGCGUCUGGAAAGGCGUGCGAUACAGGGUGACAGCCCCGUACACAAAAAUGCACAUGCUGUGAGCUCGAUGAGUAGGGCGGGACACGUGGUAUCCUGUCUGAAUAUGGGGGGACCAUCCUCCAAGGCUAAAUACUCCUGACUGACCGAUAGUGAACCAGUACCGUGAGGGAAAGGCGAAAAGAACCCCGGCGAGGGGAGUGAAAAAGAACCUGAAACCGUGUACGUACAAGCAGUGGGAGCACGCUUAGGCGUGUGACUGCGUACCUUUUGUAUAAUGGGUCAGCGACUUAUAUUCUGUAGCAAGGUUAACCGAAUAGGGGAGCCGAAGGGAAACCGAGUCUUAACUGGGCGUUAAGUUGCAGGGUAUAGACCCGAAACCCGGUGAUCUAGCCAUGGGCAGGUUGAAGGUUGGGUAACACUAACUGGAGGACCGAACCGACUAAUGUUGAAAAAUUAGCGGAUGACUUGUGGCUGGGGGUGAAAGGCCAAUCAAACCGGGAGAUAGCUGGUUCUCCCCGAAAGCUAUUUAGGUAGCGCCUCGUGAAUUCAUCUCCGGGGGUAGAGCACUGUUUCGGCAAGGGGGUCAUCCCGACUUACCAACCCGAUGCAAACUGCGAAUACCGGAGAAUGUUAUCACGGGAGACACACGGCGGGUGCUAACGUCCGUCGUGAAGAGGGAAACAACCCAGACCGCCAGCUAAGGUCCCAAAGUCAUGGUUAAGUGGGAAACGAUGUGGGAAGGCCCAGACAGCCAGGAUGUUGGCUUAGAAGCAGCCAUCAUUUAAAGAAAGCGUAAUAGCUCACUGGUCGAGUCGGCCUGCGCGGAAGAUGUAACGGGGCUAAACCAUGCACCGAAGCUGCGGCAGCGACGCUGAUGCGUUGUUGGGUAGGGGAGCGUUCUGUAAGCCUGCGAAGGUGUGCUGUGAGGCAUGCUGGAGGUAUCAGAAGUGCGAAUGCUGACAUAAGUAACGAUAAAGCGGGUGAAAAGCCCGCUCGCCGGAAGACCAAGGGUUCCUGUCCAACGUUAAUCGGGGCAGGGUGAGUCGACCCCUAAGGCGAGGCCGAAAGGCGUAGUCGAUGGGAAACAGGUUAAUAUUCCUGUGCUUGGUGUUACUGCGAAGGGGGGACGGAGAAGGCUAUGUUGGCCGGGCGACGGUUGUCCCGGUUUAAGCGUGUAGGCUGGUUUUCCAGGCAAAUCCGGAAAAUCAAGGCUGAGGCGUGAUGACGAGGCACUACGGUGCUGAAGCAACAAAUGCCCUGCUUCCAGGAAAAGCCUCUAAGCAUCAGGUAACAUCAAAUCGUACCCCAAACCGACACAGGUGGUCAGGUAGAGAAUACCAAGGCGCUUGAGAGAACUCGGGUGAAGGAACUAGGCAAAAUGGUGCCGUAACUUCGGGAGAAGGCACGCUGAUAUGUAGGUGAAGUCCCUCGCGGAUGGAGCUGAAAUCAGUCGAAGAUACCAGCUGGCUGCAACUGUUUAUUAA